rnacentral:rRNA from 1 species
UACGGGGGGGGCAAGCGUUGUUCGGAAUUACUGGGCGUAAAGGGCUCGUAGGCGGCCAACUAAGUCAGACGUGAAAUCCCCGGGCUCAACCCGGGAACUGCGUCCGAUACUGGCAGGCUUGAAUCCGGGAGAGGGAUGCGGAAUUCCAGGUGUAGCGGUGAAAUGCGUAGAUAUCUGGAGGAACACCGGUGGCGAAGGCGGCAUCCUGGACCGGCAUUGACGCUGAGGCGCGAAAGCCAGGGGAGCAAACGGG